rnacentral:ribozyme from 14 species
UUUUGUUUUUUUUGCUUUUUUUUUGCUUUAUAUGUGUUACCGGCUGUGUUUAAUUACUGUAAAAAUCACCAGGAAAUUAAAAACAAGCAUCACCCAAGGAAUCAACAAGACAAGACAA